rnacentral:rRNA from 1 species
AGCGGCAGACGGGUGAGUAACGCGUGGGAACAUACCUUUUGGUUCGGAACAACACAGGGAAACUUGUGCUAAUACCGGAUAAGCCCUUACGGGGAAAGAUUUAUCGCCGAAAGAUUGGCCCGCGUCUGAUUAGCUAGUUGGUGAGGUAACGGCUCACCAAGGCGACGAUCAGUAGCUGGUCUGAGAGGAUGAUCAGCCACAUUGGGACUGAGACACGGCCCAAACUCCUACGGGAGGCAGCAGUGGGGAAUAUUGGACAAUGGGCGCAAGCCUGAUCCAGCCAUGCCGCGUGAGUGAUGAAGGCCCUAGGGUUGUAAAGCUCUUUUGUGCGGGAAGAUAAUGACGGUACCGCAAGAAUAAGCCCCGGCUAACUUCGUGCCAGCAGCCGCGGUAAUACGAAGGGGGCUAGCGUCGCUCGGAAUCACUGGGCGUAAAGGGUGCGUAGGCGGGUCUUUAAGUCAGAGGUGAAGUCCUGGAGCUCAACUCCAGAACCGCCUUUGAUAUUGAAGGUCUUGAGUUCGGGAGAGGUGAGUGGAAC